rnacentral:rRNA from 1 species
AUUGCCCCAGUAACGGCGAAGUGAAGCGGCAACAGCUCAAAUUUGAAAUCUGGCCCCAGGCCCGAGUUGUAAUUUGUAGAGGAUGCUUUUGGCGCGGUGCCUUCCGAGUUCCCUGGAACGGGACGCCAUAGAGGGUGAGAGCCCCGUCUGGUCGGACACCUAGCCUCUGUAAAGCUCCUUCGACGAGUCGAGUAGUUUGGGAAUGCUGCUCUAAAUGGGAGGUAUAUGUCUUCUAAAGCUAAAUAUAGGCCAGAGACCGAUAGCGCACAAGUAGAGUGAUCGAAAGAUGAAAAGCACUUUGAAAAGAGGGUUAAACAGUACGUGAAAUUGUUGAAAGGGAAGCGCUUGUGACCAGACUUGGGCGUGGUGAAUCAUCCGGCGUUCUCGCCGGUGCACUUUGCCUGCCCAGGCCAGCAUCAGUUCGCCGCGGGGGAUAAAGGCGCCGGGAAUGUAGCUCCCCCGGGAGUGUUAUAGCCCGGCGCGCAAUACCCUGGGGCGGACUGAGGUUCGCGCUCCGCAAGGAUGCUGGCGUAAUGGUCAUCAGCGACCCGUCUUGAAACACGGACCAAGGAGUCGUCUUCGUAUGCGAGUGUUCGGGUGUCAAACCCCUACGCGUAAUGAAAGUGAACGCAGGUGAGAGCUUCGGCGCAUCAUCGACCGAUCCUGAUGUUCUCGGAUGGAUUUGAGUAAGAGCAUACGGGGCCGGACCCGAAAGAAGGUGAACUAUGCCUGUAUAGGGUGAAGCCAGAGGAAACUCUGGUGGAGGCUCGCAGCGGUUCUGACGUGCAAAUCGAUCGUCAAAUAUGGGCAUGGGGGCGAAAGACUAAUCGAACCUUCUAGUA